rnacentral:lncRNA from 1 species
UCAUCUUUAUCAUAUUUUUCUCUUCCCUAAUUGAGUUGUAUUUCUGGUACUAAAGGACAAAAACAAAAAAUGGUCACAGGCAAGUGAGAUAAGGAUUUGCAGGCAAGUUCAAGCCCAGCUUUACAGAGAGUAGCCAGGGAAGGCACCCCAGCUCUGGGGAAAGCUCUGACCCCAGCAGUUUUCUUUAGUUUGGAGUGGAAGGCAGAUUCUGGGUGGCCCUGAAGAAUAAAAUGUGCUUCUGUUAUCUUUUCCUUACUUUUAAGAAGUUACUGAAACAUUUGAAGAAAUUGAGGCGGAGACAUAUCCAGAGUUACACAUGAAACAUUGUUAGCACAUCUAGAUUUUAGAUAGUACAGUACAGCUCCAGCAUAUGGAAGCCUAAUAGGUGUAGGAUGUGUUGGCACAACCACUGCCCAGAUCACUGGCUGACCAGUAAACUAUGCAGGCACGACCACCAGCAGUCACUAGGGAAGGUCAAAAUCAUAAGCUAUUGCUAUAGAUGAUUGGGAACUCUUAAUCCCUCUGAAUUUCAGUACCAACAGGAUAAAAUGAAGAUAAUAUUUGCUCUGCUACCACAUGCAGCCUUGAGAAAGAUCAAAUGAGGUAUCAGGUGAAAAAAUAUACUCAGCUGUAAAUCAUUGGUUUGUAACCAGGAAGGAGUAAUGUUAAAUGCAAGUGAGGCUUGAGGAUUUUGUCAUUGUAUUUGAAAAAAUUGGGGAAAAGUAGAAUGUGACAAAAUAUUGGUUGAGUAAUUAUAGAACAAAAUAAUGCUAAUAGAAUCUGCAAAAAUUUGCUUUUUGCCUGUGUCAGGCUUUGGUAAUGACACCACAGAAUUCAUCCUGUUGGGGCCAUCAUAGAUCUUUGUGGUCAAGAACCUUGGCUGAGGUCCAAGCAAUCAAUCAGUUUAUCUCCCAGGAGCCUCAGAAUGACUGAACAUUGGAAUAUUUGGUACUUUAGUGUAGUGUUAGCAUGCUGAUACUGUGGAAGAGUUGCUGUCUUAAAGGAAAAUAUUCAAGUUAUGUUUUGUAGAUUUCAGAGACCUGGAGAGCAUUUCUAUAUUUGAUAUUUUAAGUGGAAUUAAAGUCACAUUUUAUUUUUGUAUUAUAAUCCUACUUUAUGUUAGUGUAAAUUUAGAAGUUAAAAAUGGGUAGCCAAGGUCAUCUUGUCCACUAAUGAUGACAUGAAGAGGAUGGAUGGUUUUCUUUCACAAUAAAAACAAGUAGAAAACUGAACAAGAUUGUUCAAAACUGUUAUUUCUGAGCACUGGAUUAUCGACUAGAAAGGAAGACAGUAAAUUGAGAAGUGUUACGAAUAUGCUAGAGCUUUUGAGUAAGAAAAAUGGGAGCAUAUGUGGCCUUCUUGCUUGGGGCUCCUGCUCUCCUCCACCCCCUGCCUCGUUUAAUGAAAAAUAGUUUUACAAGCCAAC